UUAGGUGUGAGUUUGGUUCUGCCUUGGGUGCAGCUCUCCCAGAUGCUGUUUGCCAUGUGGUUUCCGAUGGCAGCUAGGACUUGCGUGAGCUCUCCGGGCCAGUCGUCCAGGUCCAGCGAGCGAACGCGAGACAGGACUGCAGGCUGGCCAGGAUCUGGCUCUCUAUAGCUGACACCCACGAGUCCCUCUCCUCCAAACUCUGAGCCUCGAAGUGCCACGUCUGCCCGGUGAAGGUCACUAUGAUAAAGUCAGCAUUCUCUUCAUCUGCAAGUAAAAAUGAAAACUCCAGAGAUGAUUGGCCGGGGUCUUUCCCAGCAAAAGGACUUGCUGCCCCUUCAAGAGCAUCUGACAUUCGACAACGAGGAGGGGCAGCGUUGAAGUCCUCUGUCUCCUCCUUGAGGUGACAAACCACCAGACCGGUCAUCAACCACAGAAAGGGUGGCAGGACACAACUGAGGAACUGACAGAGGAAGUGAGAAGUUUAUAUACAGUAAAUCAUAUUCAUAUGAUGUGCAAGAGUGAAAUCAUAUGUUAUUCGUUAUGCAGAAUACUCCUUUGUUAGUGUUGCAUUAUCAUGUUAUAAGAUCAGUAAGCAGGCACUUUAAUAUUGUGGCUGUUUAAGUUAAAGCUAAUAUUAACUGCUUCACAUACUUGGGUAGUUUAAUUUAAUUUAUUACAAUAAUAUUUUACAAAUUCAAUCUGAAAAGUGAUUGUAGUUGUUAAAUUAAUUAAGAAAGUACAAUACUUCCCUCUGAAAUGUACUUGUGUAGAAGUAUAAAAUAGCGUAAAAUGGAAAAACGCAACUGUACAAAAAAAAAAUAUUUACUUCUUCAGUAUGAAAGUGUGAACUUGGGGCAGAGUGACAGAAACAAUAUAGGGUGAAGUAUUUAGCGACAGACUAACACAGUGUUGAUUUUGAUCUUUUCAUGGGGUUUGUAGUUAUGCUGCUAUAGGCCUACACUGCAGGGGGAUUUCCCAUGAUGCACUGAGCUCCUCUCUCCUCUACUUUCUCUCCCUCUGUAUGCAACCUCAUCCC